UGAGGAAUAUUGGGCAAUGCCCGAAAGGGUGACCCAGCAACGCCGCGUGGAGGAUGAAGGUCGUAAGAUUGUAAACUCCUGUUAGAGGGGAAGAAUAACUAAGUUUGGAGCUUAGUAUGACUGUACCCUCAGAGAAAGCCCCGGCUAACUACGUGCCAGCAGCCGCGGUAAUACGUAGGGGGCAAGCGUUGUCCGGAUUUACUGGGUGUAAAGGACGCGCAGGCGGAAUGGGAAGUCAGUGGUGAAAUCCUACAGCUUAACUGUAGAACUGCCUUUGAUACUUUUAUUCUUGAGUUCGGGAGAGGGAGACGGAAUUCCAGGUGGAGUGGUGAAAUACGUAGAUAUCUGGAAGAACACCAGUUGCGAAGGCGGUCUCUUGGUCCGACACUGACGCUGAGGCGCGAAAGCGUGGGGAGCAAA
rnacentral:rRNA from 1 species